rnacentral:rRNA from 1 species
AUUGAACGCUGGCGGCAUGCCUUACACAUGCAAGUCGAACGGCAGCACGGGAGCAAUCCUGGUGGCGAGUGGCGAACGGGUGAGUAAUAUAUCGGAACGUGCCCAGUCGUGGGGGAUAACGUAGCGAAAGCUACGCUAAUACCGCAUACGAUCUAUGGAUGAAAGCGGGGGAUCGCAAGGCCUCGCGCGAUUGGAGCGGCCGAUAUCAGAUUAGGUAGUUGGUGGGGUAAAGGCUCACCAAGCCGACGAUCUGUAGCUGGUCUGAGAGGACGACCAGCCACACUGGGACUGAGACACGGCCCAGACUCCUACGGGAGGCAGCAGUGGGGAAUUUUGGACAAUGGGCGCAAGCCUGAUCCAGCAAUGCCGCGUGCAGGAUGAAGGCCUUCGGGUUGUAAACUGCUUUUGUGCGGAGCGAAAAGGCUUCCACUAAUACUGGGGGCUCAUGACGGUACCGUAAGAAUAAGCACCGGCUAACUACGUGCCAGCCGCCGCAGUAAGAC